GACGAACGCUGGCGGCGUGCUUAACACAUGCAAGUCGAACGGAAAGGCCCUGCUUUUGUGGGGUGCGCGAGUGGCGAACGGGUGAGUAACACGUGAGUAACCUGCCCUUUACUUUGGGAUAACUUCAGGAAACUGGGGCUAAUACCGGAUAGGAGCUCCUGCGGCAUGGUGGGGGUUGGAAAGUUUCGGCGGUGGGGGAUGGACUCGCGGCUUAUCAGCUUGUUGGUGGGGUAGUGGCUUACCAAGGCUUUGAGGGGUAGCCGGCCUGAGAGGGUGACCGGCCACAUUGGGACUGAGAUGCGGCCCAGACUCCUACGGGAGGCAGCAGUGGGGAAUAUUGCACAAUGGGCGGAAGCCUGAUGCAGCAACGCCGCGUGCGGGAUGACGGCCUUCGGGUUGUAAGCCGCUUUCGCCUGUGACGAAGCGUGAGUGACGGUAAUGGGUAAAGAAGCACCGGCUAACUACGU
rnacentral:rRNA from 1 species